rnacentral:misc_RNA from 1 species
GAUGAAGAACGUAGCGAAAUGCGAUAAUUAAUGUGAAUUGCAGAAUUCAGUGAAUCAUCGAGUCUUUGAACGCACAUUGCGCCCCCUGGUAUUCCGUGGGGCAUGCCUGUCCGAGCGUCAUUGCUGCCCUCAAGCCCGGCUUGUGUGUUGGGCCCUGCUCCCCCGGGGGCAGGCCCGAAAGGCAGUGGCGGCACCGCGUCCGAUCCUCGAGCGUAUGGGGCUUUGUCACCCGCUCUGUAGGCCCGGCCGGCGCUUGCCGACCCCCAUCAAUCUUUUUUCAGGUUGACCUCGGAUCAGGUAGGGAUAUCCGCUGAACUUAAGCAUAUCAAUAAGCGGAGGA